GUGCCUAAUACAUGCAAGUAGAACGCACAGGAUGCACCGUAGUUUACUACACCGUAUUCUGUGAGUUGCGAACGGGUGAGUAACGCGUAGGUAACCUGCCUGGUAGCGGGGGAUAACUAUUGGAAACGAUAGCUAAUACCGCAUAAUAGUAGAUGUUGCAUGACAUUUGCUUAAAAGGUGCAAUUGCAUCACUACCAGAUGGACCUGCGUUGUAUUAGCUAGUUGGUGAGGUAACGGCUCACCAAGGCGACGAUACAUAGCCGACCUGANNNNNNNNNNCACUGGGACUGAGACACGGCCCAGACUCCUACGGGAGGCAGCAGUAGGGAAUCUUCGGCAAUGGGGGCAACCCUGACCGAGCAACGCCGCGUGAGUGAAGAAGGUUUUCGGAUCGUAAAGCUCUGUUGUAAGAGAAGAACGAGUGUGAGAGUGGAAAGUUCACACUGUGACGGUAUCUUACCAGAAAGGGACGGCUAACUACGUGCCAGCAGCCGCGGUAAUACGUAGGUCC
rnacentral:rRNA from 1 species